rnacentral:rRNA from 1 species
AUGGCUCAGGAUGAACGCUAGCUACAGGCUAACACAUGCAAGUCGAGGGCAGCAUGUGGUUGCUUGCAACCGAUGAUGGCGACCGGCGCACGGGUGAGUAACGCGUAUCCAACCUUCCCCUAGUAGAGGAUAGCCCGGCGAAAGUCGGAUUAAUACUCUAUGUUGUAUUUUGAUGACAUCUGACGAAUACCAAAGAUUUUUUGCUAAGGGAUGGGGGAUGCGUCUGAUUAGGUAGUCGGCGGGGUAACGGCCCACCGAGCCGACGAUCAGUAGGGGUUCUGAGAGGAAGGUCCCCCCACACUGGCACUGAGACACGGGCCAGACUCCUACGGGAGGCAGCAGUGAGGAAUAUUGGUCAAUGGCCGAGAGGCUGAACCAGCCAAGUAGCGUGCAGGAUCGACGGCCCUACGGGUUGUAAACUGCUUUUGCGGGAGGAUAAAGUGCACUACGUGUAGUGCAUUGCAGGUAUCCCGUGAAUAAGGACCGGCCUAAUUCCGUGCCAGCAGCUGC